UUAGAGUUUGAUCCUGGCUCAAGAUGAACGCUAGCGACAGGCUUAACACAUGCAAGUCGAGGGGCAGCACAGGUAGCAAUACCGGGUGGCGACCGGCGCACGGGUGAGUAACGCGUAUGCAACUUACCUAUCAGAGGGGGAUAACCCGGCGAAAGUCGGACUAAUACCGCAUGAAGCAGGGGCCCCGCAUGGGGAUAUUUGCUAAAGAUUCAUCGCUGAUAGAUAGGCAUGCGUUCCAUUAGGCAGUUGGCGGGGUAACGGCCCACCAAGCCGACGAUGGAUAGGGGUUCUGAGAGGAAGGUCCCCCACAUUGGUACUGAGACACGGACCAAACUCCUACGGGAGGCAGCAGUGAGGAAUAUUGGUCAAUGGCCGAGAGGCUGAACCAGCCAAGUCGCGUGAGGGAUGAAGGUUCUAUGGAUCGUAAACCUCUUUUAUAAGGGAAUAAAGUGCGGGACGUGUCCCGUUUUGUAUGUACCUUAUGAAUAAGGAUCGGCUAACUCCGUGCCAGCAGCCGCGGUAAUACGGAGGAUCCGAGCGUUAUCCGGAUUUAUUGGGUUUAAAGGGUGCGUAGGCGGCCUUUUAAGUCAGCGGUGAAAGUCUGUGGCUCAACCAUAGAAUUGCCGUUGAAACUGGGGGGCUUGAGUAUGUUUGAGGCAGGCGGAAUGCGUGGUGUAGCGGUGAAGUGCAUAGAUAUCACGCAGAACCCCGAUUGCGAAGGCAGCCUGCCAAGCCAUGACUGACGCUGAUGCACGAAAGCGUGGGGAUCAAAG
rnacentral:rRNA from 1 species